rnacentral:rRNA from 1 species
UACGUAGGGGGCUAGCGUUGUCCGGAUUUAUUGGGCGUAAAGAGCGUGUAGGCGGCCAUGUAGGUCCGGUGUGAAAACUCGAGGCUUAACCUCGAGAUGUCAUCGGAAACCAUCUGGCUAGAGUCCGGAAGAGGCGAGUGGAACUCCUGGUGUAGCGGUGGAAUGCGCAGAUAUCAGGAAGAACACCAACGGCGAAGGCAGCUCGCUGGGACGGUACUGACGCUGAGACGCGAAAGCGUGGGGAGCGAACAGG